AUGCAUUUAAAAAUCACACACAAGUUGAAUCUGAAAUUCAGCUCAUCAUUGAUGGUCAGAGUAGAUCCAGACGAAUGCGUAUUAGAACUUGAUCGAUCAAGGAAAAUACCAAUCACAGACCAAGAAAUAAACGAUGCAUUCGGUUUGCCACAAGGAAGUAGGAUCAUUCCUCCAGGCCAUUCAGAUCUAUCUGAAGUUUGCAUAGAGUUCAGCAGAUUGGCUUCAAGCAUUAGUACAAAAGGCGUCCAUAGUUUGAAGGCAGCUGAAUUUAUACUAUCAAAGCAACUUGCUGGUCUCACCACAUGCCGGUUGAUAGAUAGCAACCCAUGUUAG
rnacentral:rRNA from 1 species